AUUGAACGCUGGCGGCAGGCCUAACACAUGCAAGUCGAACGAGUGGCGGACGGGUGAGUAAUGUCUGGGAAACUGCCCGAUGGAGGGGGAUAACUACUGGAAACGGUAGCUAAUACCGCAUACCAUCGGACGUGCCCAGAUGGGAUUAGCCAGUGGGGUGGGUAACGGCUCACCUAGGCGACGAUCCCUAGCUGGUCUGAGAGGAUGACCAGCCACUCUGCAACUGAGACACGGGCCAGAGUCGUACGCGAGGCAGCAGUGUGGAAGUUUGCGCAAUGGGCGCAUCCUUGAUGGAGCCGUUGUGAGUGUAGGAAGAAGGCCUUCGGGUUUGAAAGCACUUGCAGCGAGGUGGCAUUACUCGCAAAAUAGGCGCCGGCUAACUCCGUGCCAGCAGCCGCGGUAAUUC
rnacentral:rRNA from 1 species